rnacentral:rRNA from 1 species
UACGGGGGGGGGCAAGCGUUGUUCGGAAUUACUGGGCGUAAAGGGCUCGUAGGCGGCCAACUAAGUCAGACGUGAAAUCCCUCGGCUUAACCGGGGAACUGCAUCUGAUACUGGAUGGCUUGAGAUUGGGAGAGGGAUGCGGAAUUCCAGGUGUAGCGGUGAAAUGCGUAGAUAUCUGGAGGAACACCGGUGGCGAAGGCGGCAUCCUGGACCGGCAUUGACGCUGAGGAGCGAAAGCGUGGGGAGCGAACAGG